GCCAUUGUAGCUCAGUUGGAUAGAGCACGUCAUUGGUAAUGACGAGGUCCGCAGUUCAAUCCUGCGCAAUGGCU
rnacentral:tRNA from 2 species